rnacentral:rRNA from 1 species
AUUGAACGCUGGCGGCAGGCCUAACACAUGCAAGUCGAGCGAGCGGCGGAAGGGUGAGUAAUGUAUGGGGACUGCCCGAUAGAGGGGGAUAACUACUGGAAACGGUAGCUAAUACCGCAUACUAUCGGAUAACCCAUAUGGGAUUAGCUAGUAGGUGAGGUAAUGGCUAACCUAGGCGACGAUCCCUGGCUGGUCUGAGAGGAUAAUCAGCCACACUGGGACGGAGACACGGCCAAUACCCCUACGGAGGACGCGGUGGGGAAUAUUGCACAAUGGGCGCAAGCCUGAUGCAGCCAUGCCGCGUGUAUGAAGAAGGCCCUAGGGUUGUAAAGUACUUUCAGUCGGGAGGCGUUACCGACAGAAGAAGCACCGGCUAACUCCGUGCCAGCAGCCGCGGUAAUUC